rnacentral:rRNA from 1 species
UAAGGAAUAUUGGACAAUGGACGCAAGUCUGAUCCAGCCACGCCGCGUGAAGGAUGACUGCCCUCUGGGUUGUAAACUUCUUUUAUAGGGGAAGAAAGUUAUUUUUUAGGAUAUUUGACGGUACCCUAUGAAUAAGCACCGGCUAACUCCGUGCCAGCAGCCGCGGUAAUACGGAGGGUGCAAGCGUUAUCCGGAUUCACUGGGUUUAAAGGGUGCGUAGGCGGGUAUGUAAGUCAGUGGUGAAAUACCGGAGCUUAACUUCGGAACUGCCAUUGAUACUAUAUAUCUUGAAUAUUGUGGAGGUAGCGGAAUAUGUCAUGUAGCGGUGAAAUGCUUNGAGAUGACAUAGAACACCGAUUGCGAAGGCAGCUUGCUACGCAAAUAUUGACGCUGAGGCACGAAAGCGUGGGGAUCAAACAGGAUUAGAUACCCUGUAGUCCACGCCCUAAACGAUGAUUACUCGACAUUAGCGAUACACAGUUAGUGUCUGAGCGAAAGCAUAAGUAAUCCACCUGGAAGUACGACCGCAAGGUUGAAACUCAAAUGAAUUGACGGGGUCAUAGCUGUUUUCCU